rfam:Cavia porcellus supercont2_30 genomic scaffold, whole genome shotgun sequence.
GGGGAUUUAGCUCAGCGGCAUAAGUGCCUGCCUUGCAAGCAGUUCAAUCCCCA